UACGUAGGAUGCAAGCGUUGUCCGGAAUUAUUGGGCGUAAAGAGCGUGUAGGCGGCCUUACAGGUCAGCUGUGAAAACUCGAGGCUCAACCUCGAGACGUCGGUUGAAACCGUAAGGCUAGAGUCCGGAAGAGGAGAGUGGAAUUCCUGGUGUAGCGGUGAAAUGCGCAGAUAUCAGGAAGAACACCCGUGGCUAAGGCGGCUCUCUAGUACGGUACUGACGCUGAGACGCGAAAGCGUGGGGAGCGAACAGG
rnacentral:rRNA from 1 species